rnacentral:rRNA from 1 species
UACGUAGGGGGCAAGCGUUGUCCGGAAUUAUUGGGCGUAAAGCGCGUGUAGGCGGCCAGAUAAGUCCGCUGUGAAAUCUCGAGGCUCAACUUCGAGCUGUCGGUGGAAACUAUCUGGCUAGAGUCCGGAAGAGGAGAAUGGGAAUUCCUGGUGUAGCGGUGAAAUGCGCAGAUAUCAGGAAGAACACCCGUGGCGAAGGCGGUUCUCUGGGACGGUACUGACGCUGGAGAACGCGAAAGCGUGGGGAGCGAACAGG